rnacentral:rRNA from 1 species
AUGUUAGCCUCUGCUCUAUCAGUUGAGAAAAUUGUUGCAGAAAAUUUGUAUUCUUCACAGGAGUGGCAAGCUCAAUUUAUACUAGUUAGAAUUUGGAAGAAAUUGUAUAGAGAAACCCAAAGCAUUUUGUUUUAUUCAUUCAUGCGUGAAACACAGACAAUCCAAAACAUUGAGCCAUGGUCGCACAGACCACACAACAUGUUCGGUCGGUGUUCGUUCUUGUCUUCACUUCUCUGCCGUCUUUCCGAACCCGAAGUUUGGCGGCAUGAACUCCGUCACCCUCUUCGCCGCCGGCCUGACCUUGAGCUCCUCCCACCACGCCUUCACGUGCGGGCGCUCCUCCACCAGCGACGCGUACUCGGUGUCCAUGAAGUAGCGCAUGAGCGGGAAGUGGCUGAGGUCCGCGAGGCUGAGGGAGUCCCCGGCGAGGUACCUCGACGCCGACAGCCGCGCCUCGUACACCUCCAGCACCUUCCGCAGCUUGGCGACGUUCUCGUUCACCACCGCCUGGUCCGGCGCGCCGCCCAGGAGCGGCGCCACGAUGCAAUGCACGAAUAUGGCGGCGGCCGCGGGGUGGUGCUGGUGGGCCUCCACCUCCAGCCACACGUCCACCAUCGCCGCAGACUCCGGCGAGCCGGAGCCCAGCAGCUCCGGCUUGUGCUUGCGCAGCACGUGCCUCGCGAUCGCGCGCGACUCUGCGUGUGGGGAUCCAGAUUGUUAAUUCGCUCGUCCAAGUUUUCUCAUGGAAUUUCAUAUCAGAUUGCUGAUCCGCGCGUGUAA